GGAAAAGAAACCAACCGGGAUUGCCUCAGUAACGGCGAGUGAAGCGGCAAGAGCUCAAAUUUGAAAUCUGGCCCCUCCGGGGUCCGAGUUGUAAUUUGUAGAGGAUGCUUCGGGUGCGGCCCCUGUCUAAGUGCCCUGGAACGGGCCAUCGGAGAGGGUGAGAAUCCCGUCUGGGAUGGGGUGUCCGUGCCCGUGUGAAGCUCCUUCGACGAGUCGAGUUGUUUGGGAAUGCAGCUCUAAAUGGGUGGUAAAUUUCAUCUAAAGCUAAAUACUGGCCGGAGACCGAUAGCGCACAAGUAGAGUGAUCGAAAGAUGAAAAGCACUUUGAAAAGAGAGUUAAACAGCACGUGAAAUUGUUGAAAGGGAAGCGCUUGCGACCAGACUCGCCCACGGGGUUCAGCCGGCUUUCGGGCCGGUGUACUUCCCCGGGGGCGGGCCAGCGUCGGUUUGGGCGGCCGGUCAAAGGCCCCCGGAAUGUAACGCCCCUCCGGGGGCGUCUUAUAGCCGGGGGUGUCAUGCGGCCAGCCUAGACCGAGGAACGCGCUUCGGCACGGACGCUGGCAUAAUGGUCGCAAACGACCCGUCUUGAAACACGGACCAAGGAGUCUAACAUCUACGCGAGUGUUCGGGUGGCAAACCCGUGCGCGCAGUGAAAGCGAACGGAGGUGGGAGCCCCCUCGAGGGGCGCACCAUCGACCGAUCCUGAUGUCUUCGGAUGGAUUUGAGUAGGAGCGUAGCUGUGGGGACCCGAAAGAUGGUGAACUAUGCCUGAAUAGGGUGAAGCCA
rnacentral:rRNA from 1 species